rnacentral:lncRNA from 10 species
CUUAAGUGCUCCUAACUAGACACAUAAUGUUUAGUGUGCUGCCAUUUUUUCUGAGUGUUAGUUUUAAAUAGACUAUUGACAAAUUACAGAUUUUUUUCACGUAUUGAAAUUAUAUUCCAGAUGAUUUUGAGAUUUACUGGUAUAAUAUUCUCCUCAUGAGGUAGGAUGGAAGGGAAGAAAUAGAGAAAAAAUGUUCUGCUCUGAAAUAAAUGUGGUGUUUCCUGACAGCGUUUGUCAAGAGAUGGGGUUCCACCAUGUAGCCCCGGCUGGUCUUGAGCUCAUGAGCUCAAGCGAUUCACCUGCCUCAGCCUCCCAAAGUGCUGGGAUUACAAGUGUGAGCCACCAUUCCUGCCUCUAUACCUCUAAAGGUGUUGAAUAAUUUGAAUGGGAAUUUGAAGGUCCAUGGCUUCCAAACCAGCAGGAGUUAAGGCUUAAUUGCUUGGAAAUACAUUUUCAUGGCUGAUACCAGUAACAGAAAAAUGUCUGUAUGUCAAGAGGCUCUGUACUAAUCAGUUAACCAUAACAUGUGCCACCCCAUACCUUGGGCCAAUGUAACUGUUAACAGCUUGAAGCUAUUAAAAAUGUACCAAUGGAGAACUUUCUUAUACUUUUUUCACUAAUGUGCUUCUUCA